rnacentral:rRNA from 1 species
ACGCUGGCGGUAUGCUUAACACAUGCAAGUCGAACGAAUUAGAAGAGUGGCGUACGGGUGAGUAACACGUGAGUUAUCUACGUUUGGGAAAGGAAUAAUAGAGGGAAAUCUCUACUAAUGCCUUAUGAUGCUUCAUUCGAAGUGAAAGAGAUUCUUGCCUGAUCAUGAGCUUGCGUCUGAUUAGUUUGUUGGUAAGGUAAUGGCUUACCAAGACGAUGAUCAGUAAUUGGUUUGAGAGGACGACCAAUCACACUGGAAUUGAGAAUGGUACAGACUCCUACGGGAGGCAGCAGUGGGGAAUAUUUGGCAAUGAGCGAAAGCUUGACCAAGCAAUACCGCGUGAAGGAUGAAGGCUCUUGGGUUGUAAACUUCUUUUUUUGUUGAUUAAGUUUUGAAGGUAGGCAAAGAAUAAGUAUCGGCUAAUCACGUGCCAGCAGCCGCGGUAAUACGUGAGAUGCAAGCGUUAUCCGGAAUUAUUGGGCGUAAAGCGUUCGUAGGUGGCUUCUUAAGUUCUGUGUUAAAUUUCAAAGCUUAACUUUGUUGCGGCAUUGAAUACUGAGAGGCUUUAGUUCAAUAGGGGUAGGGGGAAUUUUCAGUGGAGCGGUGAAAUGCGUUGAUAUUGAGAAGAACGCCGGUGGCGAAAGCGCCUUACUAGGUUGAUACUGAAACUGAGGAACGAAAGCUAAGGUAGCAAAUCGGAUUAGAUACCCGAGUAGUCUUAGCAGUAAACUUUGGACACUAAGUGAUGCUUUUUGGCGUUGCUGUAGCUAACGCGUUAAGUGUCCCGCCUGGGGAGUACGUCUGCAAAGAUAAAACUCAAAGGAUUUGACGGGGGCCCGCACAAGCGGUGGAGCCUGCGCUUUAAUUCGAUGAUACGCGAAGAACCUUACCAAAAUUUGGAUGUUUUUAUUUCCUUGAAAAAGGAAGUUCUAUUUUUUAAAUAGAUUUUUACACAGCUGGUGCAUGGCUGUCGUCAGUUUGUAUUGUGAAGUGCAUGGUUAAGUCCCAUAACAAACGCAACCCUUUUCCUUAGUUAUUUUUCUAGGGAUACUGCCGAUGUUAAAUUGGAGGAAGGAGAGGAUGAGGUCAAGUCAUCAUGCCGCUUAUAUUUUGGGCUAGACGCGUGCUACAAUGGUCAGUACAAUGAGUUGCAAUAUCGUGAGAUGGAGCUAAUCUUGAAAACUGGCCCUAGUUCAGAUUGUAGUCUGAAAUUCGACUACAUGAAGUUGGAAUCGCUAGUAAUCGCUCGUAAGUUAUAGAGCGGUGAAUACGUUCUCGGGCCUUGUACACACCGCCCGUCACACCAUGGAAGUUGGUCGGAUUUAAAAUUGUCUUUAAAACAAUUAGAAUUGGGUUGAUAACUGGGGUGAAGUCGUAACAAGGUAGCCGUA